ACACAUGCAAGUCGAACGGAGCACCCUUGAUUGAGGUUUCGGCCAAAUGAUAGGAAUGCUUAGUGGCGGACUGGUGAGUAACGCGUGAGGAACCUGCCUUUCAGAGGGGGACAACAGUUGGAAACGACUGCUAAUACCGCAUGACGCAUUUCGAUCGCAUGGUCGAAAUGCCAAAGAUUUAUCGCUGAAAGAUGGCCUCGCGUCUGAUUAGCUAGUUGGUGAGGUAACGGCCCACCAAGGCGACGAUCAGUAGCCGGACUGAGAGGUUGACCGGCCACAUUGGGACUGAGAUACGGCCCAGACUCCUACGGGAGGCAGCAGUGGGGAAUAUUGGGCAAUGGGCGCAAGCCUGACCCAGCAACGCCGCGUGAAGGAAGAAGGCUUUCGGGUUGUAAACUUCUUUUAAGUGGGAAGAGCAGAAGACGGUACCACUUGAAUAAGCCACGGCUAACUACGUGCCAGCAGCCGCGGUAAUACGUAGGUGGCAAGCGUUGUCCGGAUUUACUGGGUGUAAAGGGCGUGCAGCCGGGCAUGCAAGUCAGAUGUGAAAUCUCAGGGCUUAACCCUGAAACUGCAUUUGAAACUGUAUGUCUUGAGUGCCGGAGAGGUAAUCGGAAUUCCUUGUGUAGCGGUGAAAUGCGUAGAUAUAAGGAAGAACACCAGUGGCGAAGGCGGAUUACUGGACGGUAACUGACGGUGAGGCGCGAAAGCGUGGGGAGCGAACAGGAUUAGAUACCCUGGUAGUCCACGCUGUAAACGAUGGAUACUAGGUGUGCGGGGACUGACCCCCUGCGUGCCGCA
rnacentral:rRNA from 1 species